AACUGGUGAGUAACACGUGGGAAACCUGCCCAGAAGCGGGGGAUAACACCUGGAAACAGAUGCUAAUACCGCAUAACAACUUGGACCGCAUGGUCCGAGCUUGAAAGAUGGCUUCGGCUAUCACUUUUGGAUGGUCCCGCGGCGUAUUAGCUAGAUGGUGGGGUAACGGCUCACCAUGGCAAUGAUACGUAGCCGACCUGAGAGGGUAAUCGGCCACAUUGGGACUGAGACACGGCCCAAACUCCUACGGGAGGCAGCAGUAGGGAAUCUUCCACAAUGGACGAAAGUCUGAUGGAGCAACGCCGCGUGAGUGAAGAAGGGUUUCGGCUCGUAAAACUCUGUUGUUAAAGAAGAACAUAUCUGAGAGUAACUGUUCAGGUAUUGACGGUAUUUAACCAGAAAGCCACGGCUAACUACGUGCCAGCAGCCGCGGUAAUACGUAGGUGGCAAGCGUUGUCCGGAUUUAUUGGGCGUAAAGCGAGCGCAGGCGGUUUUUUAAGUCUGAUGUGAAAGCCUUCGGCUCAACCGAAGAAGUGCAUCGGAAACUGGAAAACUUGAGUGCAGAAGAGGACAGUGGAACUCCAUGUGUAGCGGUGAAAUGCGUAGAUAUAUGGAAGAACACCAGUGGCGAAGGCGGCUGUCUGGUCUGUAACUGACGCUGAGGCUCGAAAGUAUGGGUAGCAAACAGGAUUAGAUACCCUGG
rnacentral:rRNA from 1 species